GGAGACGUAACUCAGUCGGUAGAGUGUAGUACUUAUAUAACAGUAUACAUAGCAAUGCUAAGGUCGAGAGUUCGAUCCUCUCCUUCUCCA
rfam:Polysphondylium pallidum PN500 unplaced genomic scaffold PPL_scaffold12, whole genome shotgun sequence.